UUUAUUUAUUUCCAUAUGUUUAAAAUUUGUUGCAAACAAUCACAAUUUGUUAUGUAUUGUGUUUCACUUAUCACAAUCUUUUGUAGUUGUUGUUAUUGUUUGUUUUUUUUAUAGGUUUUUGCACUGUUUCUCUUAAUAGUUUUUUGUAGUUUCUUCAUUGUUAUCUUCUUUUUAAUUCUUGAAUUUGUUGUACUUGAAUCAAAGAUCUCCAAAAAUAAUCUUUCUAUAUUUACGGAAUAGUGAUAAUGUGUACAUUUAUAGUUCACUAGUAUCUAUUAUCUACCUUUUUAAACUCAUACUUAUGAAAUUCCAUUGAUAUAUUAUUGUUGGUAUUGUUG
rnacentral:lncRNA from 1 species